rnacentral:rRNA from 1 species
AUUGAACGCUGGCGGCAGGCCUAACACAUGCAAGUCGAACGGUAACAGGAAGAAGCUUGCUUCUUUGCUGACGAGUGGCGGACGGGUGAGUAAUGUCUGGGAAACUGCCUGAUGGAGGGGGAUAACUACUGGAAACGGUAGCUAAUACCGCAUAACGUCGCAAGACCAAAGAGGGGGACCUUCGGGCCUCUUGCCAUCGGAUGUGCCCAGAUGGGAUUAGCUAGUAGGUGGGGUAACGGCUCACCUAGGCGACGAUCCCUAGCUGGUCUGAGAGGAUGACCAGCCACACUGGAACUGAGACACGGUCCAGACUCCUACGGGAGGCAACAGUGGGGAAUAUUGCACAAUGGGCGCAAGCCUGAUGCAGCCAUGCCGCGUGUAUGAAGAAGGCCUUCGGGUUGUAAAGUACUUUCAGCGGGGAGGAAGGGAGUAAAGUUAAUACCUUUGCUCAUUGACGUUACCCGCAGAAGAAGCACCGGCUAACUCCGUG